UUUUUUCUUCUCAAAGUUCCCUCCGUCCAAUUCUAUCUUCAUUUCUUCAUAUCAACAAAAAAUUUUUUAUCAAAAUUCUCCUUCUGCUUCUUCUUCUUCGCCGAUUCGCUCAAUCGUCGCCUCGAUAAAGGAAGUCGACGAUUGAUCGAAGAUUUUUCUAUUAUGGCGAAGAACAGAGAGGAGGAAGAACAACAACAACAUAGAGCCGCGGUGGUGGCGUUGACGGAGGAGGAAGAGGAAGAAUUGGAGGAGAAAUUAGGUUCUAGUUUAACUCUAGAACGAGUCGCUGCCGCGAAGAAAUUGAUUGAAGAUCAUUAUAAAUCGCACAUGAAACUCAUCCAGGAUCGUAAACAAAGGCGUUUACUGCUAGAAAGGAAAUUGGAAGGCUCUGCUGUACCAAAGGAGGAACAAAUGAACCUUCUAAAGGAAUUGGAGAGAAAAGAGACGGAGUAUAUCCGACUAAAGCGUCACAAGAUUUCUGUUGAUGAUUUUGAGCUUUUGACGAUCAUUGGACGAGGAGCUUUUGGAGAGGUCAGAUUGUGCCGGGAUAAAGUAUCUGGAAAUAUAUAUGCAAUGAAAAAAUUGAAGAAGUCUGAAAUGCUAAGUAGGGGGCAGGUUGAACAUGUUAGGGCCGAAAGGAAUUUGCUUGCUGAAGCAGCGAGCCACUUUAUUGUAAAACUUUUUUAUUCUUUCCAAGAUGCUGACUACUUGUAUUUAGUAAUGGAAUAUCUGCCUGGUGGUGAUAUGAUGACGUUGCUGAUGAGGGAGGACACAUUAACUGAGACAGUUGCAAGAUUUUACAUUGCUCAAAGUGUUUUGGCCAUAGAGUCUAUUCAUAAACAUAACUACAUUCACAGGGAUAUUAAACCUGACAAUCUUCUUUUGGACAAAAAUGGCCACAUGAGGCUGUCUGAUUUUGGUCUAUGCAAGCCCCUUGACUGUUCGAAUUUAUCUCCUAUAAAUGAAAAUGAAGUGAUGGAUGGUGAGCAAAAGGGAUCUGCUAACAAGGGAACUGGUUGGAAUAGCUCCCUUGAACAACUGCAGCAUUGGCAAAUAAACAGGAGAAAAUUAGCAUUUUCAACAGUGGGCACACCUGACUAUAUUGCUCCUGAGGUUUUACUGAAGAAAGGCUAUGGAGUGGAAUGUGAUUGGUGGUCACUUGGUGCCAUCAUGUAUGAGAUGCUCAUUGGUUAUCCCCCUUUCUACUCUGAAGACCCGAUAACAACAUGUAGAAAGAUUGUUCAUUGGAGAAAUCACAUAAAAUUUCCAGAGGAAGCAAGAUUGACUCCCGAAGCCAAAGACCUGAUCUGUAGGUUGCUUUGUGAUGCUGAAAAUCGUCUUGGUUGUCGAGGAGCAGAGCAAAUAAAGGCUCACCCCUGGUUCAAAGACAUAAAGUGGGAUAAACUUUAUAACAUGGAGGCAGCAUAUAAGCCAGAAGUCAAUGAUGCUCUUGACACUCAAAAUUUCAUGAAGUUUGAUGAGGCAAAUCAAGCACCAGCAAAAAAUAGUUCAGGACCCCAUAGAAAGAAGCGUCUGAUUCCCGAAGAUUUAAGUUUUGUUGGCUAUACCUACAGGAAUUUUGAGGCUGUCAAGGGAUUGAGACAUUCUUUAGGUGAUUCUGCAGUGGAUUUCUCAGGCAAGUGUUCAGUUGAUGACAAUGAAAUACUUGUCCGCGCUGCAUCAGCAGAUACUUUAACUCUGUGAUGAGCGUCCAAGUUCUGUGAUAAAACUAACUGAUCAACAUGCCAUUUUUAUGGUUUUUUCUGGAGCCAGAGGUGUCAAAUGGGCGAGCAGGAUUAGAAUGGAUGGACCAUGCCUGAACUGUUUGAUACGCCUAAAGUUUGAUUGGAUAAAAAUGGCAAGUUUUUCACGGAUUGCCUCUCUUUUGGGGUGGGACCGGUCUUUAAUUUUUGUCCUUAAAUAUGAUGGUCUUUAAUUUCGUCCCUACUGCUCAUUUAAUGAAAAUUUGUGGAUCAAAAUACCCUUGUCAAUAAUCUGAUCGCUCGGUACAAGUUUAAAAAACUUUUGUCUUGCUUGGCAUAAGUUCGGUGGGAAUUAAGUCAUGCGGGAUAAUUUGUGAAGUAUUUCAAUGAA